GAACUGCGAAAAGUAAUGUGACCUGCAACCUUUGUGAAUCAUCCAAUCUUUGAACGCACCUUGCACCAGCAGCGAUGCUGGUAUGCUUGUUUGAGUAUCGCUUAGCGAUGAAAUUUGGGCACUCAGGAGUGAUGUCUGAAAUUGCGGGCUACGGCCUGUUGGGAUAACAUCUUACAGCAGGCCAAGCUAUCUUUACUCUCAAGUGCGCAAGCACUUGCCAGUAAAGAAGAAGCCACGCAAAUGCUGCGCAUCUGCAUGGCUUACACAGGAUCUCAAAUCAAGCAAGGAUACCCGCUGAACUUAA
rnacentral:misc_RNA from 1 species